GCCGACUUAGCUCAGCAGGUAGAGCACAUCCAUGGUAAGGAUGGGGUCUGCGGUCCGAAUCCGCAAGUCGGCUCCA
rnacentral:tRNA from 1 species